rnacentral:lncRNA from 1 species
AAUUUCUUUAUCUGCAGAUGUCAACAGUGCCUCAUCCUCUUUAUUUCCACCAGAAUUUAUAUGGUGGGCCAGGGCUUGGUGAGCGGUGGUAAUUUCCUGUGCAGUAUAUACUGCCCUACUUGUGAGGAGCAUAUUGCUGUUCAAGGGUCAACAUGCAAACACAUGGGGGCAUUACUGAAACCAAUGGAUGUUACCUGGAGAAGCCAGCCUGAAAAUAUCUGGUGCAGUGGCGUUAUGAGGAGUCUUUCAUGGAGCAUGGACUACUCAUCAUCUGUGAAGCCCAGGGCAAGUGCUGUUUUUAAGAUAGAGUCAGGCUGCUUUAUAUACAUCCAGUCUGUUUCCCUGACUGCUGCACCACCUUUCCCCUGCUCAGUGCUUGGUGAUGGACCACAAGGCUCCAGGAGAAUACAGACUGUCCAUAUCUGUCUUCUUCCCUGUUGCGCAGCCCCGAGGUCCUGCACAGUGCCAGGCAGAGAGUUCUGCUGAAGGAAAAGUUGUUAAAUAAAUACAUAAGUGCUCAUAUGCAACUCUUUUGUUUGAAUAAGUUAAAUGUAUUUUCAAUUGUAAACUAAAGAAGGGUUGUAAACAGUUGUAUUUUAUUUAAGGAAAAUAAAUUAUG